CACUGACAUCAGUUUAAAAAAACAAAAACAAAUGCAGACUUCCAGUAUUUCAUAUGUAGCUGCAGUGGAAAAUGUAAUCUACAUGUGUGUUUCUAGGCACAUAUAUAUCUUUAUGUUGUGAUAUGGGCAUGUUUAGUUUGUUGUGCAUGAUUCCUGUGAUUGUGUCUUUUUCUGUGGAGGGCUGGUUUUUGAGUUUCAGGCUGGGUGGGGCGGAUUUGGAGUAGGAUGCUCCCACUCUGGCACUCGGUGCAUCAUCCCAAUCAGCGCGCUGGAUAAAGCCACUCUUCACCUGUGCUCCAGCGCCAGAUGAUUGCCUACCCAAUGUGUGCGUCUCCUCCAUUCAGCCUCCAUUCCAGCCAUUCAGGUUUCCCACACCAGCUUUCACGCUGACAACACAGACCUCACUUCUCCCCUCAUGAGCACCGGCACGAGACACCACCCUCACCUCUGGUUUUCCUGCUGCGCUUUAGACUAGAUUCCCCAAUAAACCUGUUUUCCUUUUUAA